rnacentral:misc_RNA from 1 species
UUUUGGGGGGAUGGGCUUUAAAUGUUUUUAAGGAGGCUUGGCCCCUCCAGCCCCCCCUAAGUGCACCUAUGUGGCCUGGUGGGGGGAAAAAAUUGACCUCUUUAUUUGCUUGCACACCCUUAAAAAGAAACUGAAAUGGCGCCCCUGACUCCUAGAGUUUUGAAGACUCAAGUCACCACUGGCCGUUCGCACACAAAAAUAAAGACGUCGGUGAGCGGCAACGAUCGUAAAGUCGUCUCGGCCUCACGUUGAAUCGUAAGGAAUAUAAAAACCGCAAUUGUUGUUAUCACUUCGACGUCGAACGGCUAACUUUAUCGGUGUACGGCCGGCGGAAAAGACGUGCGCGUCCGCGGUCGCGUUAUCUCAUCACGAGAUAUGACUUAUCAACGAGGAUCGCGAACGAUAUAUCUUGAUUCGUGCACGACCGUCAUAAAGCUGAACGGCGUCCACUUGUUCAGCAUUACCCGUGAACUGUGACGGUUCGCCGAAAGUUUACGCUUUUGUACGCUUCUCGUUUUCUCGAGAUCCUCACCAAAUUAGCGUUCGUCGUAAUAAUUGUUACCGGCCAGUACGUACUCUGCCGGUCGAGCGCUCUAUCGCGAUGUACCGAAAGCGCCGGCAACGUUUUCCAGUUGUAGUUCCUAACCCGAAUGCCGUAAAAAAGUCGUCGACGACCGUGUGAAAGACAUUUGCGAACCCUUUCAAACACCACCUCCGCCAUCGUGGACAUGGAUUUUUUUGCACUGCUCACCUUCAUCAUCAUCUUCUAUAUCGUCCUCCUGUUUCUGGAUGUCACGUUCAAAUCUUGUUCGCAUUACCCGUACUUAACAUUCUUACAAAAGACCGGACUGAGUGUUGGACCUUUCCAAUUACGAUGGUAUACAACUUUGUUGAACCGUCUGAUAUUGAAAAUGUCAUUUUGGAAUCCAAAGUUCCAGACUAACUGGUUUACUUUUGGAUCCUGGGUAACUAUAUGCCUGAUUGUGCCAUCUGUGUGCCUUGUUAUUGUGUCGUCUGCUCAGUUGUGUAAGAAAAUAUUCACAGAGCCCACUAAUGAAUCUACCAUGAACCAGCAAGAGAUGUAUUUGGAGCCAGUCGUACCCGGAGUGAAUCUGCCAACAUCAGACUUGAGUUAUUAUGUACUGGCACUAAUGUUUUCAACUAUUUUUCAUGAACUAGGACAUGCAUUAGCUGCAAUCAGGGAAGACAUGCACAUUGAUGGAGUGGGCCUGAUGUUCAUUUUGAUUUUACCAGUGGCUUAUGUCCAUUUGGAAGAUAUUACCUCGUUGCCAAGUAGCAAACAGCUUCGGAUCAUGUCUGCUGGCGUUUGGCAUAAUAUAGUUCAAGCCAUUACUGCAUACCUUGUUCUAUUACUCUUGCCCUAUAUGCUAUUUCCAUUUUUCACUAUAGGGAGUGGUGUUGUAACCACCAACAUAAAUCAGAAAUCUGGUGUAAAUGGCCAAGGAGGACUAGUAAUUGGUGAUGUAAUUACAAAGUUAGGGAAUUGUGAUGUAAGUGAUUUUAAAUCAUGGUUAGACUGUUUAAAUCGUACUAUGACCAGUGUGGACUCUGGGUUUUGCCUAUCACCAGAAUUUGUUCAACAUCAUGAUGAAACAAAAUCAGUACAUUAUGUUGAUGAAAAUGUCAUAAACUGCUGUGAUCCAAAUUCAAAGACUAAUUUAUGUUUUGAAUAUAUCGAAUCACUUUCAAAUCCUCAAGAACUUCCAAAUCAUUCUUGUCUGAAUGUCAGAAAAGUUAUAGAAAGGUCAACUUCACUUUGUGAUGCCGAUAACCAGUGCUCAUCAGCGCAUUGCUAUUAUCCUGCUAUCCAUAAAAACCAUAAGCUUGUUGUUAUUGAACGUCAGAAUAAAAAUGAAGUUUUAUUCCUUGGACCACCAAUUGAAUUACAUUACAUAUCUGUGACACAAUAUGUACCCAAGACUGAUUAUUUCUUUUAUAAUAUACCUGAAUCAAUUGAAAAAUUUUGUGCUUACGGAUUUGUGGGUACCAGAUGAUUUUUACAAAUUCCCAUUACUCGAAAAAAAAUAAGAAACGAGGCUUACGGUUUCAACAUAAAUGGCUGAAAGAGUUAAAUUGGCUGGCAUAUUCAAAUGUAAAAAAUGGUACUUUUUGUAAAUACUGUAUCCUGUUUACAAGAAUAGUGGGAUUGGAAGUUAACCUUUAGGGAAUCUUGUUACUGUCGCAUUCACUAACUGGAAGAAAGCAAAUAGGUAUAUAGAGUUAAUUCCAGUUUAAAAUAUCAUACUUCUUCUGUACUAGAUUCUGAGCAAUUUUUGAAAAUAAUG